AUGUAGGACUAUCUUUUGUUUACUCUCCUUUUCUAUGAUGAUUUUCCUGCUGUUAAGCUUCUCUUGUAUAAAGCUCAAUUUCUCUAUGACCACGGAAGUAAUCAUCCUGAUGCAUUCUUGUCAUGUGAAUGUUGAGAGCGUGUUCAUUUUUGAAACAUCCUUUCUGACAGACCUAUUCCACAGGAUCAGCUGAGAUGUUAUUUCACUGGAUUAUUUAAUGGAUAGGCUUAUUGGGCAUAAGGUUGGAUAUCUCUGUCAUCAACAUGGAAGAUAUGUUUUGUUCCUAACCAUCUAUAAUCAAUUCUCUAUGAAGUUCAGACUGUCUGCUCUUCCUUUGGAAAUACACAGUUAGUCAAUCAACAUAGAAACACACAAUCUUGAAGGAUUCUCUAG